CGGGUGAGUAACACGUGAGUAACCUGCCCUUGACUCUGGGAUAAGCCUGGGAAACUGGGUCUAAUACCGGAUACGACCAUCUGGCGCAUGUCAUGGUGGUGGAAAGCUUUUGUGGUUUUGGAUGGACUCGCGGCCUAUCAGCUUGUUGGUGGGGUAAUGGCCUACCAAGGCGACGACGGGUAGCCGGCCUGAGAGGGUGACCGGCCACACUGGGACUGAGACACGGCCCAGACUCCUACGGGAGGCAGCAGUGGGGAAUAUUGCACAAUGGGCGCAAGCCUGAUGCAGCGACGCCGCGUGAGGGAUGACGGCCUUCGGGUUGUAAACCUCUUUCAGUAGGGAAGAAGCGAAAGUGACGGUACCUGCAGAAGAAGCGCCGGCUAACUACGUGCCAGCAGCCGCGGUAAUACGUAGGGCGCAAGCGUUAUCCGGAAUUAUUGGGCGUAAAGAGCUCGUAGGCGGUUUGUCGCGUCUGCUGUGA
rnacentral:rRNA from 1 species